rnacentral:rRNA from 1 species
AGAACGAACGUUAGCGGCGCGCUUAACACAUGCAAGUCGCACGAGAAAGGGCUUCGGCCCCGGUACAGUGGCGCACGGGUGAGUAACACGUAGGUAAUCUACCUUCGAGUGGUGGAUAACUCCCCGAAAGGGGUGCUAAUACAGCAUAAGACCACGGCUUUCCGAAGCUGCGGUCAAAGGGGGCCAAUCCUUGGAAGCUCCCGCUUGAAGAUGAGCCUGCGGCCCAUCAGCUAGUUGGUGGUGUAAUGGACCACCAAGGCUAAGACGGGUAGCUGGUCUGAGAGGAUGAACAGCCACACUGAAC